rnacentral:rRNA from 1 species
CUCCUACGGGACGCAGCAGUAGGGAAUCUUCCACAAUGGCCGAAAGUCUGAUGGAGCAACGCCGCGUGAGUGAAGAAGGGUUUCGGCUCGUAAAGCUCUGUUGGUAGUGAAGAAAGAUAGAGGUAGUAACUGGCCUUUAUUUGACGGUAAUUACUUAGAAAGUCGCGGCUAACUACGUGCCAGCAGCCGCGGGAAUACGUAUGUGGCAAGCGUUGUCCGGAUUUUUUGGGCGUAAAGCGAG